rnacentral:rRNA from 1 species
GACGAACGCUGGCGGCGUGCCUAAUACAUGCAAGUCGAACGCAGUUGCGAACGGGUGAGUAACGUGUCGUUACCUGCCUUAUAGCGGGGGAUAACUAUUGGAAACGCUAGCUAAUACCGCAUACUUUGAGAUGGACCUGCGUUGUAUUAGCUUGUUGGUGAGGUAAAGGCUAACCAAGUCGACGAUACAUAGCCGACCUGAGAGGGUUAUCGGCCACACUGGGACUGAGACACGGCCCAGACUCCUACGGGAGGCAGCAGUAGGGAAUCUUCGGCAAUGGACGGAAGUCUGACCGAGCAACGCCGCGUGAGUGAAGAAGGUUUUCGGAUCGUAAAACUCUGUUGUUAGAGAAGCGGUAUCUAACCAGAAAGCCACGGCUAACUACGUGCCAGCAGCCGCGGUAAUAC